GGAUGGGGUCCCUGGGGGUGCACCCGAGGUUGGGUGGUUCUCCCUGUGGCCCUGGGCCCCCCAUGUGUACGAGCUCCUGGUGGGUUUGGAGGAGGAGGGAAUACCAGUCUGUCUGCUGAAGCCAUUUGGCCCGUGCGCCCUGCGGCGGUUUUCCGGGGGUGGGGGGAGUUGCAGCUCUGCCUCCUGGCUGACCGUUUCAUUUGGCCCCUUGGGAACGUUGAGGGGCCGGCCCAGGACCUUGUAACUCCUGGGACCACCACCCUCCCCGCCUUUGAAACUCUCAAAUUCUUGCAGCUGCCCCUCGCCCCUGCCAUCGCACGUAGCCCCCACAGACCCUCCAGCCUGGCUUCGGAGGGGUUCACUGCUGUCCCCCUGGUUUUCCCUGCGUCACAGAAAUAAGCGUGGGUGCGUGGAAGGCGGGGACAGGCCUGCUCACGAGGCCACAGUUCACUUUGCUGAGGCUCUGUGCUUCCUGUGGGUGGGGUCUCUGCAGUCACCUGGCUCUUCUGCGGCUCAUCCUGGGAGGAGUGUGGGAGCACUUCCUGCUUGGAUGGUCUCUGGGCUGCAUGUGCUGGGAGUCUGGUGGCUUUUCCUCGGGGUCCCUGGACCACCCCCCACAAGGCUGGUUUCACAUCUUGGGAACUUGUUGCGCCCGCUGGGAACUGGAGGGGGUCCCUGCCCGGAUCCACACCCUCUACGCACUCUCCUUGAAAGGCUCGUCUGCCACAUCCUCCGGUGUUGUGCACGGAGUCCCCCCCACCAGCGACGGGACGGCGCCCCCAGGCUGCGGCUCGCUGACUGUGGCCAGGUGUGUGCCAGGCGGCCCGGAAAGGUCUCUUCCUGCCAUCUUGGGGCAGCUGGGUCUCCGCACAGGGAUGUGUCCGGGUGCCGUGACACCAGCCGCCGGAGCAGGCUGUCCCCGAGCCCUCUCCCGGGGAGGGAUUCGUGCCCACCCCAUAGUCCGUAGCCAUU
rnacentral:lncRNA from 1 species